AGAGGGGGCUAGCGUUAUUCGGAAUUAUUGGGCGUAAAGGGCGCGUAGGCGGCUUAGCAAGUGGAAGGUGAAAUCCCUCAGCUCAACUGAGGAACUGCCCUCCAAACUGCUUUGAUUGAGUCCGGGAGAGGUGAGUGGAAUUCCCAGUGUAGCGGUGAAAUGCGUAGAUAUUGGGAGGAACACCGGUGGCGAAGGCGGCUCACUGGACCGGUACUGACGCUGAGGCGCGAAAGCGUGGGGAGCGAACGGGGAUUAGAUACCCCGGUAGUCCACGCCGUAAACGAUGAGUGCUUGGUGUAGCGGGUAUCGACCCCUGCUGUGCCGAAGCUAACGCAAUAAGCACUCCGCCUGGGGAGUACGGCCGCAAGGCUG
rnacentral:rRNA from 1 species